AUAUAUAUAUAUAUGAAAGUUGGUUAAUAUAAAUGACACAUUAUCACACAACAAAAUGACAUAUGUCAUUCGAUGUUUUUUU
rnacentral:sRNA from 1 species